rnacentral:rRNA from 1 species
GCGGAGGAAAAGAAACCAACAGGGAUUGCCCUAGUAACGGCGAGUGAACAGGCAAGAGCUCAGAUUUGAAAGGCACUUUUGUGCCGUUGUAUUCUGAAGUUAGGGUCCUGAGAAACGAUGCUUAAGUCUUCUGGAAAGGAGCGCCAUGGAGGGUGAUAGCCCCGUCUAGCAUUGACCUCAUAUAGGAUCUUAACAUGGAGUCGAGUUGUUUGGGAAUGCAGCUCAAAUGGGUGGUAUGCUCCAUCUAAAGCUAAAUAUCUGCGAGAGACCGAUAGUAAACAAGUACUGUGAGGGAAAGAUGAAAAGAACUUUGAAAAGAGAGUGAAAAAGUACGUGAAAUUGUUGAAAUGGAAGGGUAGGCCGCUAACCAUGUAGAGCCGUGUUUGGGGGGAAGAUAAAUGCUGUAGAAUGUAGCUCCUCGGAGUAUUAUAGAUGCAGUUCAUAUUCCCACCCGAGCGCGAGGAUCUCAGGUUCUACUAAAUGGUGGUCUACCACCCGUCU